AAGGAUAUUUAAUUGCAGUAAAAGCCUCUUCUUUAGCAAAAUCACUUUCUAUUGGAAAUUCAAAAAGUUUUUUGAAACAAAAACCAAAUAAACGAGUUUUUGGUUUUUAUGUAUUUCUACAAUAAAGUAUUCCUUUAAUAAAUUUAGACUUUAAUUAGAACUAUAAAUUAUAUAUAAUUUAUAUUAUUUUUAAUUCUAAAAAUAAUAUCUAUAUCUUAGGAUUUCAAUUACUUAAUUAAGUAACAAUUUACUUAUUAAUUAACUUUUCACAAUAGAAGAAAAGAUUUUCUUCUAUUGUGAAAAGUUUAAUAGAACUUAAAUUAAAUUUGAGAUUUAAAUAUUUCCUAUCUUAUAUAUAUAUUUUUUUUUUUUAAUUUUUUAAAAAUUAAAAAAAGAUUUAUAAUUUACUGUUAAUUUCAACAUGAAAAAAUAAAAAAAGAUAAAUGAUAAAAACUUUGCAUUUAUUUUUUUUNNNNAUUCUACUAGAAUAUUAAAAAAUAAAAAAGACUAAAUUCUUUUUGUUUUUUUUAAUUUUUUUAAAUAUUAAAAAAAAUGAUUUUUCUUCCUAUCAUUAUUGAUACGGAAAAUAAGAUAAAUGAUAAAAAAAUAGUAAGUUUUAUAAAAAAAGUAAGAUUUUGCCAUUGAGGAUGUCAAAAUAAAAUGAAAAAAAAUCUUUUCUCUUUAUCCAUUCUAAAAUUUCUUAUUUCAAAUANAAAUUUUGAAAUCUUGACGANUUAAACAUGAANUUGGC
rnacentral:misc_RNA from 1 species